rnacentral:tRNA from 1 species
GGAGGAUUGGCCGAGUGGCAAGGCACCGGCGCAGUUAGCCGUGGUCGGGUGAAAACCCGCGCACGUUCGAUCCGUGCAUCCUCCG